rnacentral:lncRNA from 1 species
UUCAACUGAUUUUUAUAGCUUGUUCUUAUGUUGUACUGUUAAACUACUGUCACAUGUUGGUGGAGUGCUCACAAACAUGUUUAACCCUGCCACAACUUUUAAGUGCCUCUCCCAAGUCAAGAGCCUAAGUUCAGUGAUUGUUGGUGGUUCCAAUCUAAUUAAAAUUAAAUCUCUGCAAUUGCUCCUCAUUGUUUAUAUGUUGCUCAUGGUUCAUGUUUGCCAUUCUUGAUUUUUGUAAACUGUUUUGUUAUGAAUUAGACUGUUAAUUUUUUUAAAUUGAAUUGUUUCAUAUUUUCAUAUCAGGGCUUUUUGUAUAGCCUACCUUAUG